rnacentral:rRNA from 1 species
AGGGUUUGAUCAUGGCUCAGAUUGAACGCUGGCGGUAUGCUUAACACAUGCAAGUCGAACGGAAACGAUACUAGCUUGCUAGUAGGCGUCGAGUGGCGGACGGGUGAGUAACGCGUAGGAAUCUGCCUGAUAGUGGGGGAUAGCCCGAAGAAAUUCGGAUUAAUACCGCAUAAUCUAUUCGUAGUAAAGUGGGGGACUUUCGAGCCUCACGCUAUCAGAUGAGCCUGCGUAAGAUUAGCUAGUUGGUAGGGUAAAAGCCUACCAAGGCUACGAUCUUUAGCUGGUCUGAGAGGAUGAUCAGCCACAUCGGGACUGAGACACGGCCCGAACUCCUACGGGAGGCAGCAGUGGGGAAUAUUGGACAAUGGGGGCAACCCUGAUCCAGCAAUACCGCGUGUGUGAAGAAGGCCUGAGGGUUGUAAAGCACUUUCAAUUGUGAAGAAAAGUUAACGGUUAAUAACCGUUAGCCUUGACGUUAACUUUAGAAGAAGCACCGGCUAACUCCGUGCCAGCAGCCGCGGUAAUACGGAGGGUGCAAGCGUUAAUCGGAAUUACUGGGCGUAAAGCGUGCGUAGGCGGUUUAUUAAGUCAGAUGUGAAAGCCCCGGGCUUAACCUGGGAACUGCAUUUGAAACUGGUCAACUAGAGUAUGGUAGAGGAAAG